GCCCUUGUGGAUCAGCGGUAGAUCUUCCACUCAAGAUGUUGAAAUGGUCAGUGGACGACGUGGGUUCGACUCCCACUGUCACGGGCG